GGACCAAGAUCGAGUUGCCAAGUCACGAGAAACUCCUACGAAAGAUCCUAGACGAACAGAUCUGAAAUCAAAAACAAAGAUUAAGAUUAAACCGAAUCAGAUUUGAAUUUAAAAUUCCCAAAUUCAAUUAAAAGAGCAGCAAGAAGAAAAGAAAUAGAAUCGAUGAAUCAAACGAAAUUGAGAAGAAAGAAAAGAUGCGAAUCUGCUAAGGAAUUGAUUCGGCCAAGAAUGCCCAAUUUCCAGCAAUCAAUUGAUUCCCAAAUUGAAAGAAAUCCAAUCGGCCAAACCCUAGGAAUUGGGGAUUUUUG
rnacentral:lncRNA from 1 species